rnacentral:pre_miRNA from 1 species
CUCCUGUGGGGGGGUCCCUCAGCCCAGAUUGUGAGAGGGUGCAGGCCAGGCCAAGGGACCCCACCAGUGCAUG